rnacentral:misc_RNA from 1 species
UUUCCGUAGGUGAACCUGCGGAAGGAUCAUUCAUAAUAAGUGUUUUAUGGCACUUUUUAAAUCCAUAUCCACCUUGUGUGCAAUGUCAGGGUUGAUUUCUUUCGAGAGAUCAACCCCAAACAUCAACUAUAAUCUCAACUCUUUGUCUGAAAAAUAUUAUGAAUAAAACAAUUCAAAAUACAACUUUCAACAACGGAUCUCUUGGUUCUG